UACAGAGGUCUCAAGCGUUGUUCGGAUUCAUUGGGCGUAAAGGGUGCGUAGGUGGCGUCGUAAGUGGGGUGUGAAAUCCCGGGGCUUAGCCCCGGGACUGCAUUCCAUACUGCGGUGCUUGAGGACUGGAGAGGAGACUGGAAUUUACGGUGUAGCAGUGAAAUGCGUAGAGAUCGUAAGGAAGACCAGUGGCGAAGGCGGGUCUCUGGACAGUUCCUGACACUGAGGCACGAAGGCCAGGGGAGCAAACGGG
rnacentral:rRNA from 1 species